rnacentral:lncRNA from 1 species
ACAUCCAAAAAUAAUCUGUACCACAGGGAAUGCUCUCUGUCAUGGACAGCCGUUUACACACGCUGUAACAGGAUCACUGCAGUUCCAGGCUGGAAUUCAGCUGGGAGAGGAGCCACACGUCUGCCUCGGAGCUCCCACUGCCACAGACAGGGCUGAGGAAACUCCUCUGCUGGGCUUGGAUGUCUGUUCUGAACUGUCACCCUUUGAGGUCACCUUUCUGCCUCUAAACCCUUGAGAAACCCUACAGAAAUGGGGAUGGCAUUGCCAAUAUGUGUGCUCUAACUUGUUUUGCUUCUCUGGAAAAAUCAAACACGAUAACUGAUAAUGCAAAUAAGAGACAGAAACAUGAGGUGAUGCCACUUGGCCAAGGCUACAGAGGAAGGAGGUGGUAACAGAAUUGUACCCUGACGUUUCCCAGAGGUGAAGCCCGAGGAGAGUUUUCAUAAGCUCCAUGAAAGUCUUCAGCUUGGCCCUUGGAGUUCAUCUGACCAAAGCUGGUGGCUGCUGCUCGACUGCCCAGCCCUGGGGUCUCUGGGCUGUAGGAUGGGAGGCCUGAUGCCCCUCGGUCCUUGGCUCCUGCCUGGCUGUUCCUAGGGAAGCUGGGUUUCUUCAUGGUGACCUGCACAGCUGGCCUGUGGGCAGCACCUGAAAAGCUCUCCAGCUCUUUUGCUCCUGGAAGCAGAAUUGUCCCCAAGUCAGGUGGCCUUCAGCACAAGCCAAGCAGGUCAAGUGUUACAAUAAACAAGGUACAGACACAGCCCAUGUGUUGGACCACACUGGAAUCCCGAAGGGAUGAAGCACAGGGAUGAGACUCCUCUGUGAGAAGGAACAUCAUCUCCACAUUGUCAUCCUUGACCCAGGUAGAAGAGGGAUCCACAGAACAACUAGCAUCCAACUUUGAAAGGUAUCCAAGAAGAUUGCAUUUUUGGGGCAUUUCUCUUCUCUUGAGCCUACAAAAUUGUUUUGGGUUUGGCUUCUGCUUGGCAAAUAUCUGUGGUUCUCCCUGGUGUUGAGCUGCAGCAAAUUCUUUUGUGCUUAGUUGCUCAACACAGAAAUCCAUGUGCUUACCUGGGGAAACAGAGAGAUGAGCACUGGAUGCUGCAGAUCCAAAUUCAUUUUCAGCAACACAUUUAAAUAUUCCAGAGUCUUCUGGAAAAGCUUCUGUAAUAACCAGGGUGCAGACUUCCUCUGAAAUAACAAAUUCAGGUGUGAUGUUGUACCAGAGAGCCAAAUGUUAACCUACAGGAGUUGGUCCUUGCAGGAGGAGUGUGACUUAGUGA